UACGGAGGGAGCUAGCGUUGUUCGGAAUUACUGGGCGUAAAGCGCACGUAGGCGGCUUUGUAAGUUAGAGGUGAAAGCCCGGGGCUCAACUCCGGAACUGCCUUUAAGACUGCAUCGCUUGAAUCCAGGAGAGGUGAAUGGAAUUCCGAGUGUAGAGGUGAAAUUCGUAGAUAUUAGGAAGAACACCAGUGGCGAAGGCGGCUCACUGGCCCGGUACUGACGCUGAGGCGCGAAAGCGUGGGGAGCAAACAGG
rnacentral:rRNA from 1 species